GAUUGUUUUACAGAAUAAAAAAGAGGAAGGAGUCCGUCCUCUUUAUGCUGCCCAGCAUUCCUGAAAGAAAGAAAGAAAGAAAGAAAGAAAGACAAGUGAAUGCUUGGAAGAAAUAAGAUCUUCAAAAGGCUUAUCCACCACAAAGACCAUAGGAGUUUUUGUUUAAAUGUGACCCAGCGGAGCGGUUUGCAGCCAUCAGAAAUCUGGAACCAGGUCGCCCUGGAUUGCAGCAAUAAAUUCUCCACAAUCCAGAUCUCCUAACUGAAUCCACAACCACUGUGGGCUCAGUAUCACAGACCCACAAGGACCAACUUCUCUGUUAUUGUAUUAUCUCUACCAAAUUUAAACUAUAUCCACACUCAAGGUAGGCCACACUCAAGGUUCAAGAUGAAUGCAACCUGUGUCAUGUGGGGAAUCUUUUGGCUGAUUAUACUCUUUUUUAUUGGAUGGCCAAUUAGCAUAUUUUUGGGAGGACUGUAUGGAUUCUUCGCUCCUUUGACCACUCUGAUAGGUCUGGAUGACUUUAGUGAUCUUUUAUUGAAGGGGGUAAAUGUGGGAAGAGAAUGUGCUAUGAAUGUGCGAACAGGAAAGUCCCUCUUUUAACAAUAAACCCUAUCAUAAAUCAGGAAAUAAACAUUCAUUUUAUGAUCUUUAAUGGAUUUUGAAAGUAUUUGUGUACAUUCCUGUUUAUAUUAAAAUGUUAUUUAGGCUUUAAAUAAUACAUUAUUGAUAUUUUACAGUAUUGUAAAGAAGUAAAUAUAGUGUCAUUUCAUUUGUAAGCUGUAUAAAACCUGGGGAGAUCCAAAUAAGAACUUCAAAUUUUUGUCAGAUCUGGGUUUGAUCAGAACGCCAUGUUUACAGCUCUGAAAACUUAUGUACUAAUAUCUUUGCUUAGAAACAGUGAUGAAACCUGCCUUCCUCUUAGGGGGAAAGUUGGCUUUUGGCCUCUUACUCUGCCUUGUAAGUUAUCAAAAGUUCAAAGUCUAAUUGUUUAUUAGCUUCAUUGCCAAAUGCAGUCAAUGUAUUAAUCUGUAUUAUCGCUAAUGUUCAUUAUAUUUAAAUUUGAUAUAAAUAUAUCAUAUAUAUGGGAGCUAUUUUUAAUUAUUCAUAGAUAUGUUAUUACUUAUGAUAAAUAAAACAUAACUCUACUGGAAGUUUCCACUUUUUUUUUUACGUUUUUGUUAUGUAUUUUUCUCCUAAUAUAAGAAAUUCCUGAAUUUUGCUGAAUUGCUAAAUUUUGCUGUUACUUUUCUGAAACACAAUUAUAAAUAUUAUGAUCUUAAAACUAGAACCUACUUUAUAUAUUGGUAAAGUAUUUUUGCUGUCACUUACCUGAUAGAGAUCUAAGUUCUCUGUCCCCUAAUAUGUAUGUAAGUAAUCCUUGGUACAAUUUGAAACAAUGGGAAAGUAUUAUUGCUAAUGGUCCAGGUUGAGAAUAGAAAUUAUCCUAGUUUCCUCAUUAGAUUGCAUAUUCCAGAAACUGAUCAAAAUAAUGCAUCCAUGUUGAUUCUUUUGAGUUUGUGUGUGUUAUAUAAUACCAUAUUGUAACAUUAUCUGUGGCCUCUGAAAUGUUUAGCUAUAAACUAUUAUUAUACAGAUUUGUUUGGCUGAGUGUUUCUAGGU